rnacentral:tRNA from 1 species
UGCAUCGGCCGGGAAUCAAACCAGGGCCGCCCGCGUGGCAGGCGAGCAUUCUACCACUGAACCACCGAUGG